rnacentral:rRNA from 1 species
UACGUAGGGUGCGAGCGUUGUCCGGAAUCACUGGGCGUAAAGCGCACGUAGGCGGCUUUCUAAGUCAGGGGUGAAAUCCUGGAGCUCAACUCCAGAACUGCCUUUGAUACUGGAAAGCUUGAGUUCGGGAGAGGUGAGUGGAACUGCGAGUGUAGAGGUGAAAUUCGUAGAUAUUCGCAAGAACACCAGUGGCGAAGGCGGCUCACUGGCCCGAUACUGACGCUGAGGUGCGAAAGCGUGGGGAGCAAACAGG